AAUCUGAAGAGACUGUUAACUGCACUAGG
rnacentral:piRNA from 1 species